UUUUUUUUUAAAGAAAAACCUCAAACACCAGAUGUUUCAUCUGAUUUGACAAUUUCAUUUAGCAUACACCUUUUCACUCUAGUUUUAACUCCUGAUGUCUUUCUUAUUUUUUUGAAAAUGAUGGUAUGACAGUUAUAGUAAGAAGCCCUUUAGCACACGAGCAAAGUAUGAGGAAUAAUCUAAUUGAUAGAACUUUCCUGCUUAUUUUUUGUAGCCUUUUUCGGUAGUAGCAAAAUAUUGAGACCAUCAGAUCAAAG
rnacentral:lncRNA from 1 species